AACCCCCUAAUCUUUCUUUCUCUCUAGACUCUUUCUCUCUUCUUUCUAAAAAGCUGCUGCCUCCCAUCUCCGACUGUCGCCCAUCGCAUCUCCAAAUCUGGCGGACCAAGCUACCGCCUCACGAUGAACGGCCACCGCUCCAAGCGGCGGACCACGCCCUAAUCAACGCCGCCGACAAUAACACCAGCGCCGCCACGCGGCCAGUGACCAAACCCUACCAUAUCCAGCCACCGUCCAAUCAGAGAUCUCAUCCAGCCGCCACCUUUUAUGCCGUAGCCAUCGCAGAAUCAUGCUGGUGGAUCAACCAACCGCUCCAACCUGCCCUACAAGCCUCAGCCGCCACUUUUUUCUUCCCCUCCAGCGAACUAGCUCCAGUGCCGCUCCAACUUCGCCUCUCUUAACACUUUCGUCGAUGAAAUAAUCACCACAAUAACCGAUGCUGACUACCAAUGCUAUUCCCGAGAAAGUGCCCUCAAAAAUUUUCAAUACACGAUGGAUUCACGGAAUUUAUCUCGGGUUUGAUUUCGCGUUUAAGUUUUCAUUAAACAUUCUCAUCUUCUUUUGUCGUUCUUUUCUUUGAUUAUCGAAGUUGGAAUUAGCGAUAGUUGAUUUUAAUCUUAAUUUGACUCUUUUUGUGUUUUUAUCUGCAUUUUUUGAUCAACAUGUGUUAAAAAGCCUAACUUGCGUAUACUGUUAUAGCUUUUCUUAUUUUCAACUGCGAUCCGCCUCAAGUCAAGGAUUUUGGGCAAUUUUGACUUUUUUGUCUUUUGUCCUUUAGAAUUUCAAUCGUGAUAAAUGUCCUAAAUAUAUCUGAGUUGUUUGGUAUGAUUCUCACUGGUCACUUGAUUUAUGCGGGUAUAUUUCAACUGUUUUGAUAUAAUUUGAACUGAUUGCUCGAUCCUUGUAAAAUUUUUGGUGAUCUGUCUUAUUAAUUCUGAUAACAAUAAUUAGUUUGGACUAAUUGUUUGACAAGCUGCUUGAUUUUGUGAAUUUGAACUGGUGGAUUUUUAUUGAUAACAAUUAGUUACGAAUUUUCAGUGUGAUUUUUAUUAUGAUAAGGAUUCAUUUCAGUUUCCUAAGAUAUGUAUUUGUGUUAUCUUAUUUCAGAGAAUUUUUAGUUCAUUUUAUUGAUAUAUUAGUUAGUAGAUGCACUUUUCGUCAUUAACUUACAGGUUGUUAGAUUUGCCUAUUUUUUGACUUAGACUUCUUUUUGUGCUUUUUCUUCAAUGGUUUUGGUUUCUGUGUAAUAGUGAUCCAAAGUUUAUUGUUGUUCAAUGAAGUUUUGUUCUUUGCUGUGUACCUUUUUGUUUUCUUUAACUAUGUGGAUCAAUGGGUGCUGAAUUUAUUCGAAAAGUUUUUUUUUUGGUUUUUGAGAUGUUUUACUGUAAGAACUGAGGACCUUUAUUUUGGAUUUUUCACUUGGUAACUAGCUAUAAAGUCUUGAUCUUUUUUUUAUUUUUCUCAUUUUUGUGUUUUUGCUGCAAUGGUUUGUGUUUUUGUUUUGUAUUGAUCCAAGGUUUGUUGUCUCAGUUUCUUUUUAUUUGAUAAAGUUUUCAUCUUUUUGUGUGUGCCCAUUUAUUUUAUUUAUCUUUGUGGAUGAAUGAGUGUGAUUUUAUUUGCAAAGGGUCCGUUUGUGUUUCACUAGAUAUGUAUUUUGUGAUUCUUGUUUCAGAGAAUUUAGUUCAUUUUCUUAAUCUGUUUAUUCUAUUUUGAGCAAUAGACAAGAUUACUUUUAAUUAGAGGUUAUGAGUUUAAGAUUGAAAAUAUAAGAAUGUUUUUGUGUGUAUAAUUGAUUUUAUUCUUAGUGCUUCUUCUGCUAUAACUCUCACUUUUACGAACCUGAAAACAUGGAUUUCCUUGGUUUAUUAGGAGGUUUACUUGAUGUGCUAAUUUUUUCUUAUGCUGUUGGCUUUUUGUACUUCUCUGUACUAUCUCAGUUUUCAAAAUAAAAUAAAAUUUGACCUUGCCCAAAAAAAGUAUUGUUGAACCUGAAUGUUUUUGAUGUGUGACUGCUUGAUGCUUUGGCCGAGGAGCAUUUAGAACUGCUUGACCCAUAAUGAACUCCAAUGCUUAAUUCAACCUGAUUGUUCUUUCUAAACACAAAAUGCUACUACACUUAUUUAACAGGAUGAAAAUAGAUGAGUUGCCUUGAAGGAAAACAUUUAGAUUCCCUUUUGAUGAGAUAAUGGCUAAGCAUAUGUGUUAGUUUGGAUGUGCUUCAACAAUAUGAAUGAAACAUGAAACUUCACUUGAGUGAAAGAAAGCAAAUUAAUAGAUGAAUGCCCAUUUGCUUGAGCAAUUUUUGUGCGUGAAAUACUGAAGGUUUAUUUAGUAAUUUAUGUUGUUUUUAUUUUAACUAUCAAAUCUGAAAGCAUCAUCAUCAAUCUUAAUUUUCUUCUCUUUUCCACAGGUGUAAAAGUGAUUUGAAUGAAGACUAAUUGCAAGCUCAACACGUUAUUGGUAUUUUGAAAGAAACCUCUACAUAUCUGCCGUAGUUUAGGAUAGGAGUAAUAUUUAGUAUUAUAUUUAAGUUAGAUUUACUUUAUGUUGGACUUGUUUUACUUUUCUUUGCCCUGUGAGGAGAUAUUACCUUAGUAUAAUUUUAGUUUUUUUAAUUGUAUGAGUGUGGGUGAAUUUUAU
rnacentral:lncRNA from 1 species